GUUGAGGGAUGCAACACUUAGCAUCACUAGAUACAUUGAAGAUAAAAGGUUGUGAUAACCUGGAAAAAUUGCCAGAGGAAUUGGGGAAACCCUCAACCCUUCGUGUGUUGGCUAUAAUUGGUUGUCCCAAUCUAAAAGUUCUACCAGAGGGAUUGAGAAACCUCCAAAACCUCCCUCUGUUGGAAAUAACUGAUUGUUCUAAUCUAACCACUCUACUAGAUGGCUUGGGAGACCUCUCAUCACUUCGAUCUCUGGACAUCCAAAGAUGCCUUAAAUUGACGUCAUUCCUGGAAAAUUUGCAACAGAUGACAUCCUUCCAAGUACUUUGGUUGAUCGAGUGUCCGAAACUAAAAGAUUUGUCCAGAGGGUUGGGAUAUCUCUCAGCACUUGGGAAGUUGCCCAUCUGGGGACGUCAUAACCUCAUCAACCUUUUGCCUCAGGGAAUUCAAGAUCUGAAAUCAUUACAAGAGCUGACGAUUUCGGAUUGUUUGAAACUACAAACUCUACCAGACGAAUUGGAGAACCUCUUGUCACUUAAGAGCUGGUUAUUUGGAAAUGCCCCAAAUUGAAGUCUUCAAAGAACGUGAUACAACAAUUGAAAGGGAGAAAGUUACGAAAAUUGAACAUAAGAGACUGUUCUUUACUGAAGACCAUAAAUGAUGAAUCUUAAUCCCUGUUAACAUCGUCCUUACUCCUCCAGGCUACAGGGAACAACUUGAAUGAUGGAAAAGAAAAAUCAGUGCUUACAUUUGUUCUGAGGGCGAAGUGUGUUCUUGUUGACUAUCGUUGGAAAAAAUUAUUGGUAAGACUGGACCAAUUGGCCAUCUUAGCCACAUGGAUAUCCGGUUUUGAAAAUGGCUAGCAUUCCUUUAGAUGGCACUAGUGCGAGUGGGGCAGAUUCGGCCUGUUAUCCCAAGUACGAAAUGAGGUCAUAAAUUCAUAAUAGGGCCAUUGAAACAAUGUCAAUGCAGUUCGGACAGAAGAAGAGAGUACACCUCAAUGAGCACCAUCAGAGCAUUCAUCAUAUCACAUCCUAAUUCGUUACUUGAAUGGGAAUGGAACCACCGUAAGGAACAAUUUGUGCUGCCUUGUUAUUAUCCCGACUGGUGGAAAGUGUCAGAGCUCUUUGGAAGAAAAUUCAGGAUAAAAUUGAUGCUGUUGGUAAGAAAUGGUCUUCCAAAAAUUGGGUCUACAGCGGAAGGCCUUUAAGCUCAAAUGAAAUGCUGAAAUAUUUGAUAGAUGUGAUAGUCAUAACGAGUUAAUUGAGAAAUGUGAUACUUGUUUUCCACUGGAUCAGUGGAAAGACCUCAUAACUAAGUGGCAGAAUGAGAAAAAUGAGGUAGGAUUUAUUUAUUUGCGUAGAAUGCAUUGCUAAUUGUUAACUGUGGCUGACACAUAGGUAAUGUAUGUUUUUCCAAUAUGGUAGGAUGUUUGUAUGUGAAAUAAAGAGAGCAGAUCAAAACAAAAAAAAUGAGUCCUACUGCUGGGUAAAGAAGUUUUGCCGAACUUUAUUAUAUUUUGAUACAUUUCUUACACAAAUAUACAUAUAAUUGAUAAUUCUGAAGAACAUGUAAAAUGUUAUAAUUAACUGUUUGUUCGAUAGAGGGCCCUGAGGGUGAGGAGCCUUCAAGGUUCGAGAUGUUUAUGAUUGUACACAAGAAGAAGAAUGGACAGCCGGUAGAUGUGGCCUCACAAGAAACAAUGACAAAGCUCAAUGAUAAGUUGAGUCAGUUGCCCAAAGAAAUAAGAAAUUAGAGAGCACUAAAAGAAGGCAUCUUCACCAAGGUUAUAGAAAAAGACACUCACAUUCAAGUGCGCCUACUUGGAGUUGAGUAAGCCCAAAGGACCUUGGGCUAACAAAAAUGUGCCAGAACACAGAGUUGCAAUGUCAAAUGGCGGAGUUGAAGCAAGAAAUGGCAAAAGAAAGAAAGAAGUUGAUGGAAGCAUUGGCAGAAGAAAGAAAAAUAUGAAACAAGAGCUGGAAGAAGAAAAGUAGAAGAAUGCAAAGGCUCUUUCCAGUAUGCAAUCACAACUAGAAAAACUUACGCAAGUCAUGAUUAAUAGAACCUCACGGAAUUCAAUUAAUUUCGGUAAUUAUGAAUUGUAAUGAUUUCUCUAUCUCUAUGACUAUUUAAUUACAAUUUUAUAUGCAACUAAUUUUGAUUGAUGAUUCAUUUGACCAAUAGGUCAAUGAUGAGAUUGCACAAGCAAUUGUAAGAGGGUGAGAGAGGUAACUAUUCUCAUAGGAGUUUUUAUAUAUAUGACCCUUAUUCUUCUCUAAUUGUUUGUUUACUUUUCUUCUUUCUUCAUUUUUUCCUAAUUUGUUCUCUAUUAGCAGAUUUUAUUUGUGUUUAACUUCUUUUCGGCGGCUUCAGCAUUAGAUAUACAAAGAAACGUUGCUUCUCUUCUGGGAUAAUGGGUAUAUUAUUAAGUUUGAGAACUCCAAUUUUGUCCAUGUUAAUUUCUCAAUCGGAAUGUUCAUUUGUCCAUUUUCUGCCAUUGUCAAAUAUUUACUGGUUAUGUCUGCAACAGCUAAUUACAUGUACAAUGCUCCUUUUCUUGUAAUAUUAUUACCCUAAUUCAUCAGCAGAAAAAUCAGGGACCAAGGGAGCUCAUGAUACACCUAGUAGCAGAUUGCGGAGAUAUAAGUGUGCUUCCUCACUAGAUUCAAGAAAAGUUGUUAAAUAUUUUUGGGAAAAAGAAGCCUUAAAGGCAGGUAGCCCAUGCACCCAGACACAGGGGGACAGAAUGACCACCCUGCUCCUCAUGAAAUGGAAAUCCUGCCCCUGUUGAUGCUCCCGCACGCGCUCCCAGUGGCCCCCAUGCUAAUGCAAGGCCAUGCUGCCUUUUAGGAACCUCUCCGAUAUGUUUUCAGUAAUGUGAGAUUCCAAUCCUUCAUAACUAGUAACUGAAUGCAUGUAAUCUUUCAUACAAAUACAUGUAUGGUUCAGUUUUUGACAAUAAAUUAGAUCUUCAAAAGCCAGUACUCUAAAUCUCUAAUGAUUAACCUUGCAUGAAAUUUUAUUUGUAAAGCAUAUCUCUAUGAAGUGCUUGAUCAUGUUGUUGUCAUAUGUCUUGAUAAAUUCCUAUUAGAUAAUUAAUUUAAAUAAAGUCUUGCUACCAUGGGCAUGAUCAGAAACUGGGAAAGACUUGAAAGACUAGUCUGAUAUAGAUGAAACCAGUGAAAAAUAUAUCUUCCACUUUGUUGAUCUGGCUGGACCUGGAAUUCAUGCUUCAAGCCUGGAGUUUAAUGUAGUUCUAUUUCUAUACGUCUUAUCAUUACUGGGAAGGUUUAAUGUUUGUUGGUAGAAUGUGGCAGCCUUGUAUUACUAUAGCUUUUGAAUUUUAUCUAAGUUUGUUUGGACGUGAAUGAGAUUGCUUUUGCAUAUGGCGGCCUCUCUCUCCACCCUUCACUAAUGAUAAAUUAGAUAUAAUAUUACUUUGUAUUAUGACGGUUCAACUUGAAUGUGGGAACCAUUGCACCUGAUUUUGAGGCUAGAUGCUCAGAAGUUUGUUCUUCUUUCGGUCUUAUCGAGUCAGCUAAAGUUCCCAAAAACCACCCUCGUGUGUGGUGAAUCCUUUCUUUGCUUCUGGAGAGAUCUGUUCAUAAGAAUGAAAAGUUACUGGAGACUAUGCAAAAGAAAGAUUCGGUUACAAUGUUGAUCACAACUUCAAGUACUCAAGCUGCAGCUUCCUGCUUUGUUGUUGCUUACAAUGUUCAUUUCACUUCCCUCAAUGUUUACCUCCUUGUAAUUACAAGUUUGAUGGUAGCAGCAAAAUUUAUUGAUGAUGUGCAAGUAUUAGAGCCUGUAGCCAGAAUCUCUUUACAGUUGGGUAGCAUAUAUUCGAAUAAUCAUGCCAAACAUCGGGUACAUAGAUGAUAGGCCUUCUGAGUUCUUACUAUCAUCAUGAGACUUGAUUAGUGACUCAUCCAUUCAAGUUCUGAUUGAGGAGGUUUUGGAUCAGAAGUCGCUCAGUAAGUAUGCUAAUGGACCAGAGCAAUAAACUGCCAAUAUAUAGCUACAAGUUGGACAGCCCCAGGCCCCAAAGGAAUAAGGUUUGUGCUUAAGGUUACCGUCGCAAUUUGGCACCAUGAAAUUUAAAUUCAGUUUGAUUUUCGGCCUAUGCCCAAUUGAAGAGUUAGCAGUUAAUUAACCUGUUAUGAUUAAUGAUGUUGGCCUGUGUAUUAUAGACAUACAAAAUUGGCGAAUGGCAAUUAAGGCUGAGGUCUUAGACAUAUUGACCUGGAAACUAAUAUGUUUCAUCUGAAAUAACAUACUAGUAUGAGAAGGGUAGAUAAGUCUGUGUCUGAGCAAUUCAUCCCAUUCUUUGCCAUUUACAGGCAGCAUCUGACAAACCAGGAUCCAGCUUUCUGCCAUUAAGCUCUCCAAAUUUGCAAACAAGUGUCUUCUGCAGACAGGAUAUUUCUUAGUGGUUUGUAUCCUAAUGUUGUGAAGGAGGAGAUCGAGGCAAAUAUUUUCUCAGUUUGGGGAACUUGUCUAUGUUAAGAUUCCUUUGGGUAAAGGAUGUUGUUUUGUCCAAUUCGGAACUCGCCCAUGCUGUGCUUCUGCUGAAGAAACAAUACAAAGGUCGCAUGGAACUAUUAUUGGUCAACAAAUAGUCCACCUUUCAUUGAGCAGAAGCUCAACAACUGAUGAAGUGAGUCCAUUUAUUUUUCUGCUGAUGUUUGUAGAGAUUCUUGC